AAACAGGUCUAAUUUUUUAAAAGUAUUUUUGCUGUUAACGUUGGAUCUUGGUAUAAAUGUCCAGAGACAGACCACUGAAGAUAUUAGGCGCUGAAAAUCCCCACCUAAUCAAUCAGACCAGUGGAACUAACAGAUAACUACUUCUCUGACUUCAAGAAACUGAGACCUGGAGAAGUUGUGGUGCUGCUACCUGAUGGAGUAAAGGUUGAAACACCAGUCAGCCUUUUAAUCCUGUGUUAUUUUUUUUUUCCUGAUCCACAUUUCAUUUGUGGUUGUCAUCCUAUUAUAAAAGUUGAAUCCUCAGGCCGGGCGCGGUGGCUCACGCCUGUAAUCCCAGCACUUUGGGAGGCCGAGGCGGGCGGAUCACGAGGUCAGGAGAUCGAGACCAUCCUGGCUAACAAGGUGAAACCCCAUCUCCACUAAAAAUACAAAAAAAUUAGCUGGGCGUGGUGGCGGGCGCCUGUAGUCCCAGCUACUCGGGAGGCUGAGGCGAGAGAAUGGCGUGAACCCGGGCCCGGAGCUUGCAAUGAGCCGAGAUUGCGCCACUGCCUCCAACCUGGGUGACAGAGCGAGACUCUGUUUCAAAAAAAAAAAAAAGUUGAAUCCUCAAGAGCAUUUUCUAUUACAAUUCACCCCACGUACCAUUUGGAAACGUUUAGAGUCUGCCAUUCACAUUAGACAUUCAGACAUGAAUCUUUUUUUUCCAUUAUCAUCAAACAUUUUUCUUAGACACUUGAUAUGCAAAGAACUACACCCUACCUUCAGGAGGCUAAUAGUCAUGUUGAGAAGGCAAGACCUAUAAAGACAAUUAGUACAACUCUAACUGCCAUAUGAAGUCGUCGUUAACAGAUGUUAAAUGUUCAUUCAUUCCACAAACAGUACCAUGUGCCAUCACGUACCUUAACCCCCUGGUCAUAUAAGAUUCCUUCAGAAACCUUGCUGUCUAUUGUCUGAAGGAAGGUAUAAGCAAAUAGCAUAAUGUGUUUAUUUAACAAAUAUAUAUGAUGAAUUCAUCCUCACUCCAGGCACUAAGAAUAUACAAAGACAUGGUGACUGUUCUUAAAGAGCCUACUAUCUAGCUAGGCCUUAAAGGAGACUAAUAUAGGAAUAAUUAGUUUUGUAUAGACUUUCAUGUACUUUUCACAAACCUUAACUCAUGGUUACAAUAACCUCAUAGGCAUUGUUAUCCUUAUUUUACAAGGGCUAAGAUUAGAGACAAAAGUUGUUAAAUUAUUUAGUAAAGGUUAGACAGGUAAGCUGAGAUUUGAAGUCAAGUACUUUGCAGGAUUAACUGAAAUCAAGGAGGGGAUGCAUUCUAGUCAGAAGAGCAGAAGCAAAGCUAAAAGGUGCUCGCUUCAGCAGCACGUAUACUGAAAAUUAGAACGAUGCAGAGAAGUUAGCAUGACCCCUGUGCAGUGAUGACACACAAAUUUGUGAAAAAAAAAAAAAAAAAGCUAAAA